ACAAGCGGUGGAGCAUUGUGGUUUAACUCGAAGCAACGCGAACGAACCUUACCAGGUCUUGACAUCCGAUGCUAUUUCUAGAGAUAGAAGUUACUUCGGUACAUCGGUGACAGGUGGUGCAUGGUUGUCGUCAGCUCGCGUCGUGAGAUGUUGGGUUAAGUCCCGCAACGAGCGCAACCCCUAUUGUUAGUUGCCAUCAUUCAGUUGGGCACUCUAGCGAGACUGCCGGUAAUAAACCGGAGAAGUGGGGAUGACGUCAAAUCAUCAUGCCCCUUAUGACCUGGGCUACACACGUGCUACAAUGGUUGGUACAACGAGUUGCGAGUCGGUGACGGCGAGCUAAUCUCUUAAAGCCAAUCUCAGUUCGGAUUGUAGGCUGCAACUCGCCUACAUGAAGUCGGAAUCGCUAGUAAUCGCGGAUCAGCACGCCGCGGUGAAUACGUUCCCGGGCCUU
rnacentral:rRNA from 1 species